CCUACGGGUGGCAGCAGUGAGGAAUAUUGGUCAAUGGGCGCUAGCCUGAACCAGCCAAGUCGCGUGAAGGAGGACUGCCCUGUGUGUUGUAAACUUCUUUUAUAUGGGAAUAAAGUGCAGUAUGUAUACCCCUUUGCAUGUACCUUAUGAAUAAGGAUCGGCUAACUCCGUGCCAGCAGCCGCGGUAAUACGGAGGCUCCGAGCGUUAUCCGGAUUUAUUGGGUUUAAAGGGAGCGUAGGCGGGUUUUUAAGUCAGUUGUGAAAGUGUGGGGCUCAACCGUACAAGUGCAGUUGAUACUGGCAGCCUCGAGUACAGGAGAGGUAGGCGGAAUGCGUGGUGUAGCGGUGAGAUGCAUAGAUAUCGCGAAGAACUCCGAUUGCGAAGGCAGCCUGCUGGACUGUAACUGACGCUGAUGCUCGAAAGCGUGGGUAUCAAACAGGAUUAGAUACCCCAGUAGUC
rnacentral:rRNA from 1 species